rnacentral:rRNA from 1 species
CAUUAAGUUGGGCACUCUAAGUUGACUGCCGGUGACAAACCGGAGGAAGGUGGGGAUGACGUCAAAUCAUCAUGCCCCUUAUGAUUUGGGCUACACACGUGCUACAAUGGACAAUACAAAGGGCAGCAAAACCGCGAGGUCAAGCAAAUCCCAUAAAGUUGUUCUCAGUUCGGAUUGUAGUCUGCAACUCGACUACAUGAAGCUGGAAUCGCUAGUAAUCGUAGAUCAGCAUGCUACGGUGAAUACGUUCCCGGGUCUUGUACACACCGCCCGUCACACCACGAGAGUUUGUAACACCCGAAGCCGGUGGAGUAACCAUUUUGGAGCUAGCCGUCGAAGGUGGGACAAAUGAUUGGGGUGAAGUCGUAACAAGGUAGCCGUAUCGGAAGGUGCGGCUGGAUCACCUCCUUU